GGGUAUGGCUCAGGUGGUAGAGCGCAUGCUUAGCACGCACGAGGUCCUGGGUUCAAUCCCCAGUAUCUCCU
rnacentral:tRNA from 1 species